AACAGGAUUUGAUACCCUGGUAGUCCAUGCCGUAAACGAUGUCUACUAGCCGUUGGGGCCUUUGAGGCUUUAGUGGCGCAGCUAACGCGAUAAGUAGACCGCCUGGGGAGUACGGUCGCAAGACUAAAACUCAAAUGAAUUGACGGGGGCCCGCACAAGCGGUGGAGCAUGUGGUUUAAUUCGAUGCAACGCGAAGAACCUUACCUGGUCUUGACAUAGUAAGAACUUUCCAGAGAUGGAUUGGUGCCUUCGGGAACUUACAUACAGGUGCUGCAUGGCUGUCGUCGGCUCGUGUCGUGAGAUGUUGGGUUAAGUCCCGCAACGAGCGCAACCCUUUUCCUUAUUUGCCAGCACUUCGGGUGGGAACUUUAAGGAUACUGCCAGUGACAAACUGGAGGAAGGCGGGGACGACGUCAAGUCAUCAUGGCCCUUACGACCAGGGCUACACACGUGCUACAAUGGUCGGUACAAAGGGUUGCUACCUAGCGAUAGGAUGCUAAUCUCAAAAAGCCGAUCGUAGUCCGGAUUGGAGUCUGCAACUCGACUCCAUGAAGUCGGAAUCGCUAGUAAUCGCGGAUCAGAAUGCCGCGGUGAAUACGUUCCCGGGCCUUGUACACACCGCCCGUCACACCAUGGGAGUUUGUUGCACCAGAAGUAGGUAGUCUAACCGUAAGGAGGACGCUUACCACGGUGUGGCCGAUGACUGGGGUGAAGUCGUAACAAGGUAACC
rnacentral:rRNA from 1 species